rnacentral:rRNA from 1 species
UACGAAGGGGGCUAGCGUUGCUCGGAAUCACUGGGCGUAAAGGGUGCGUAGGCGGGUCUUUAAGUCAGGGGGGAAAUCCUGGAGCUCAACUCCAGAACUGCCUUUGAUACUGGCAUUCUCGAGUCCGGAAGAGGUGAGUGGAAUUCCGAGUGUAGAGGUGAAAUUCGUAGAUAUUCGGAGGAACACCAGUGGCGAAGGCGGCUCACUGGUCCGGUACUGACGCUGAGGUGCGAAAGCGUGGGGAGCAAACAGG